rnacentral:hammerhead_ribozyme from 1 species
AUCUAACUGACGAUUCCCAAAUACAACGAAACGCGUGUCUUGGAU